rnacentral:rRNA from 1 species
CCUACGGGGGGCAGCAGUAGGGAAUCUUCCACAAUGGGCGAAAGCCUGAUGGAGCAACGCCGCGUGGGUGAAGAAGGUCUUCGGAUUGUUAAACUCCGUUUUUAGAGAAGAAAGAGCGUGAGAGUAACCGUUCACGUUUCGACGGUAUCUAACCAGACAGCCACGGUUAACUACGUGCCAGUAGCCGCGGUAAUACGUAGGUGGCAAGCGUUAUACGGAUUUAUGGGGCGUAAAGGGAUGGCAGGUGGUUUGUUAAGUCUGUUGUGAAAGACUUCGGCUUAACCGUAGUAGUGCAUUUGAAACUGGGAGACUUGAGUACAGAAGAGGAGAGUGGAAUUCCAGGUGUAGCGGUGAAAUGCGUAGAUAUAUGGAAGAACACCAAUGGCGAAGGCGGCUCUCUGGUCUGUAACUGACGCUGAGGUUCGAAAGCGUGGGUAGCAAACAGGAUUAGAUACCCUAGUAGUC